rnacentral:rRNA from 1 species
UACGGAGGGAGCUAGCGUUGUUCGGAAUUACUGGGCGUAAAGCGCGCGCAGGUGGUUCCUUAAGUCUGAUGUGAAAGCCCCCGGCUCAACCGGGGAGGGUCAUUGGAAACUGGGGAACUUGAGUGCAGAAGAGGAUAGUGGAAUUCCAAGUGUAGCGGUGAAAUGCGUAGAGAUUUGGAGGAACACCAGUGGCGAAGGCGACUAUCUGGUCUGUAACUGACACUGAGGCGCGAAAGCGUGGGGAGCAAACAGG